rnacentral:snRNA from 1 species
CUUGUGUACGUACACGCUGCCAA